rnacentral:rRNA from 1 species
GACGAACGCUGGCGGCGUGCCUAAUACAUGCAAGUAGAACGCUGAAGGAGGAGCUUGCUUCUCUGGAUGAGUUGCGAACGGGUGAGUAACGCGUAGGUAACCUGCCUGGUAGCGGGGGAUAACUAUUGGAAACGAUAGCUAAUACCGCAUAAGAGUAGAUGUUGCAUGACAUUUGCUUAAAAGGUGCAAUUGCAUCACUACCAGAUGGACCUGCGUUGUAUUAGCUAGUUGGUGGGGUAACGGCUCACCAAGGCGACGAUACAUAGCCGACCUGAGAGGGUGAUCGGCCACACUGGGACUGAGACACGGCCCAGACUCCUACGGGAGGCAGCAGUAGGGAAUCUUCGGCAAUGGACGGAAGUCUGACCGAGCAACGCCGCGGGAGUGAAGAAGGGUUUCGGAUCGUAAAGCUCGGUUGUAAGAGAAGAACGAGUGUGAGAGUGGAAAGUUCACACUGUGACGGUAUCUUACCAGAAAGGGACGGCUAACUACGUG